CCACAUCAUUUUAAAAUCACAGCUUAAUGCUCUCACAGACAGUCGAGUGUUCUCGAAUCGGGAAGCUGGGAUCCCGACUGAGCUUGGUUUCUGACGCUUUUGAAUGUUUGUCUGUACACUGUCACAUCAAUAAAAUCUUGAUGAAAGCAAUGGAAACUCUUUGUUUAUUGAAUCCCACUGUUUGCGCCUAUCCGGCGGCAGAGCUCGUCCUAUCCCUCUCUCUAUGUCUGUAAAAUGUUAUAAGGCGCAACUGUCUUUCCGUUCGGCACAGACAACUCUCAGAGUGGAGUCGUGUUGCCCUUGUGUGGCUUUUGUCGAUUGGGACUUUAGUUGCCGCGUUAUAUUUUGCAGGAAGUUGCGUGUCGUCGAGUGUUCCAAUUCAAAGCCCUGUUGUUCUUCGUUGUCCUGUUCCACGCGCUUCAAGCUUUGUGUCGAUCUUCCUCGUCGCUUCUGCUUGUGAAAGAAACAGCGUCGUGGUGUUCGGUUUCUGUUCAACAGUACACUGCAUCCAGAUGGGUCAAGGGGAGCAGAAACGUCCUCAUAAAAGAGGCGAUGUCCUCACGAGCGCCGCAAAGGGCAUUGUCAAGGAUGCGAAUACAGCGAUAUCUGCGGUGAUCGGCUCUUGUGCUGGUUCUGGCGAUGGCAAAUCUAAAUAGAGAGCGCGCACACACACACAUAUGUAUAUGUACAUGUAUAUACAUAUAUAUCGAGAAGAAAUGGAAGGUUGCAAAACUUCAACUGCACGCUCCAGUGGCUCUCCAGGCUUCCACUUCUCUUCUUCCCCGACACACUGUUUCAUGUGUUCUUCAACUCAAUACGACUCUUCUGGAUGAAAGGAACAUGAUGCCCCCCCCCCCCCCCCGCCGACGAGCUCGGGGACCGCUCCACCGACACUUACCCAUGUACACCGAACACUUCGUUGCCUCUUGGAUGGCUAUCCAGAUCAUUGUAUUUUAUCGUAUGAUAAUGCACCCGCCGUUUCAUAAAUCCGAUUGCCGAACUCCGAACUAUGAACGAAGCCGUGGUUAGACUUUUUGACGAGACGUUGACUUUUCGGAGUGGACUUUUCGGCGUUGACUUAAGUUGACUUUGGUCUUAGGUCGUGAACUACCUUAUCCAGUGCCUACGUGGUAUUUUAUUUUAUUCUAUUUCAUUGGGUUGUAUAAUGCAGGCGAGGUAAUAAAAACUGUACUGUAGCUUCUUGAAGGUUGUAAAGUAAGGCAGUGGUUUUUUAAAAGAGCAUUGAGAAGUUACUGUAAUAUUUUAUAUUAUAUGUAUAUUAGUUUCUGUAUUUUUAUGUGUA